GAUGAACGCUGGCGGCGUGCCUAAUACAUGCAAGUCGAGCGAACGGACGAGAAGCUUGCUUUUCUGAUGUUAGCGGCGGACGGGUGAGUAACACGUGGAUAACCUACCUAUAAGACUGGGUUAACUUCGGGAAACCGGAGCUAAUACCGGAUAAUAUUUUGAACCGCAUGGUUCAAAAGUGAAAGACGGUCUUGCUGUCACUUAUAGAUGGAUCCGCGCUGCAUUAGCUAGUUGGUAAGGUAACGGCUUACCAAGGCAACGAUGCAUAGCCGACCUGAGAGGGUGAUCGGCCACACUGGAACUGAGACACGGUCCAGACUCCUAAGGGAGGCAGCAGUAGGGAAUCUUCCGCAAUGGGCGAAAGCCUGACGGAGCAACGCCGCGUGAGUGAUGAAGGUCUUCGGAUCGUAAAACUCUGUUAUUAGGGAAGAACAUAUGUGUAAGUAACUGUGCACAUCUUGACGGUACCUAAUCAGAAAGCCACGGCUAACUACGUG
rnacentral:rRNA from 1 species